AGCUAAAGUGCAGAAUUAGAAUGAAAAUAUACCAAGUAUGAGAUUGAGGACCAUACAAGACGAUUGGAGGAAGAAAGAAGUAACAUUGGACUGAAUUGAAGAAAAGUGAAAGAUGAAGGACUAAAUUGCAAUUAAUCAAAAGAUGAGCCGAGCAAAUGAUCAAGGAAUUGAUUGACCCAAACAUCAAUUAGGAGUCAAUAUUUGAUAAUGGAACAAAGGAAAGAAAGAAAAG
rnacentral:lncRNA from 1 species